UCUGGUUGGCCCUGGUGUCUCAGGGAUGGG
rnacentral:piRNA from 1 species